rnacentral:rRNA from 1 species
GAUGAACGCUGGCGGCGUGCCUAAUACAUGCAAGUCGAGCGAACAGAUGAGGAGCUUGCUCCUCUGACGUUAGCGGCGGACGGGUGAGUAACACGUGGAUAACCUACCUAUAAGACUGGGAUAACUUCGGGAAACCGGAGCUAAUACCGGAUAAUAUAUUGAACCGCAUGGUUCAAUAGUGAAAGACGGUUUUGCUGGCACUUAUAGAUGGAUCCGCGCCUCAUUAGCUAGUUGGUAAGGUAACGGCUUACCAAGGCAACGAUGCGUAGCCGACCUGAGAGGGUGAUCGGCCACACUGGAGCUGAGACACGGUCAAGACUCCUACGGGAGGCAGCAGUAGGGAAUCUUACGCAAUGGGGGAAAGCCUGACGGAGCAACGCCGCGUGAGUGAUGAAGGUCUUCGGAUCGUAAAACUCUGUUAUUAGGGAAGAACAAAUGUGUAAGUAACUAUGCACGUAUUGACGGUACCUAAUCAGAAAGCCACGGCUAACUACGUG